rnacentral:rRNA from 1 species
AGAUUGAACGCUGGCGGCAGGCCUAACACAUGCAAGUCGAGCGGUAGAGAGGUGCUUGCACCUCUUGAGAGCGGCGGACGGGUGAGUAAUGCCUAGGAAUCUGCCUAGUGGUGGGGGAUAACGUUCGGAAACGGACGCUAAUACCGCAUACGUCCCUACGGGAGAAAGCGGGGGACCUUCGGGCCUCGCGCCAUUAGAUGAGCCUAGGUCGGAUUAGCUAGUUGGUGAGGUAAUGGCUC